GUACCCUUCACACGGUUGAGACACACGGUCGUGUCUCUGCCCGUGUGUUUACUACCAUGCAUACUGACUUACAAUUCUUACGCGCCGGGACACAUAACCAUAUCACACGCUCAUUUGGUGAACCGUGUGUCACAUACAGCCUAGACACAUGCCCGUGUGCCUACCCAUGUAGACAAAAUAAGGCUAUUUACUAAGCCUUUUGGUCACCCUUACUUAUGUAACCUGC
rnacentral:lncRNA from 1 species